rnacentral:rRNA from 1 species
GAUGAACGCUAGCGGCAGGCUUAACACAUGCAAGUCGAGGGGUAGAGGUUGCUUGCAACCUUGAGACCGGCGCACGGGUGCGUAACGCGUAUGCAACCUACCUUUUACAGAGGGAUAGCCCAGAGAAAUUCGGAUUAAUACCUCAUAGUAUAUAACCUUCGCAUGUUGGUUAUAUUAAAGUUCCAACGGUAAAAGAUGGGCAUGCGUCCUAUUAGCUAGAUGGUAAGGUAACGGCUUACCAUGGCAACGAUAGGUAGGGGUCCUGAGAGGGAGAUCCCCCACACUGGUACUGAGAAACGGACCAGACUCCUACGGGAGGCAGCAGUGAGGAAUAUUGGACAAUGGGCGCAAGCCUGAUCCAGCCAUGCCGCGUGCAGGAAGAAGCAUCUAUGGUGUGUAAACUGCUUUUGUACAGGAAGAAACACCCCGACGUGUCGGGACUUGACGGUACUGUAAGAAUAAGGAUCGGCUAACUCCGUGCCAGCAGCCGCAGUAAAAC